CCGAGUUAUACAACUCAUCAACCCUGUGAACAUACCUAAACGUUGCUUCGGCGGGAACAGACGGCCCCGUAACACGGGCCGCCCCCGCCAGAGGACCCCCUAACUCUGUUUCUAUAAUGUUUCUUCUGAGUAAACAAGCAAAUAAAUUA
rnacentral:misc_RNA from 1 species